rnacentral:rRNA from 1 species
UACGAGGGGGGCGAGCGUUGUUCGGAAUUAUUGGGCGUAAAGGGUGCGUAGGCGGCCUGACAAGUCUGAUGUGAAAUCCCUGGGCUCAACCCAGGGCCUGCAUCGGAAACUGUCGGGCUUGAGUAUGGGAGAGGUGAGUGGAAUUUCCGGUGUAGCGGUGAAAUGCGUAGAUAUCGGAAGGAACACCUGUGGCGAAAGCGGCUCACUGGACCAUUACUGACGCUGAGGCACGAAAGCUAGGGGAGCAAACAGGAGU